AUGCUCCAAAAUAUCUGUGCAAACUCCCGAGGUGGCAAAAACACAGGAAAAAAAAAAAAAAAAAAAAAAGGCCCCCCCCCCCCCCCCCCCCCCCCCCCCCCCCCCCCCCCCCCCCCCCCCCCCCCCCCCCCCCCCCCCCCCCCCCCCCCCCCCCCCAGGAAAAAAAAAAAAAAAAAAAAAAAGGGAGUGCUGGCUCAAGUGCCAUUUGUUUAUUUGCAGCGAGUCAAGCCCUGGACCAGGAUAUCCAGGAGGGAUCUGGUGGCUCCAUCCUGGGAGAUCACCAAAGCCUGCCUGGACACCUGGGCUGAGCCUGCAGAUGGCAAUUCCCAUUUUGGGAGGGUGGGCUAUGAGUCCCUGUGCCCGGCAUGGCUCCUCCCUGAGGAGCCUGGGAUGUCCUGCUGGAACCUUGGAGCUUGCUCCUGGUCACCACUCCAGCUCCUCUGCUCCCUCUCCCUCGUGGAAUGGUCGGGGGGCAGCAUUCCCUGGGAGGCUGCGUGGGAGUUCUGGCCUCUCCUGUGGGAUCUGCCCUGGCUUUGGCUCCUCGAGUGCUCUUGCCCCUGGUGUCUCUCGCUCCUCCUCGAGGGGGUGUCAUGCUGGGGCCGUGGAGAGUGUCUGUCAUCAGCAUUCCAGCGCCUCUGGUUUGUGGAACGGUCGUGGGGCACCGUUCCCUGGGAGUUCUGGCGUCUCCUGUGGGAUCUGCCCCGGCUUCGCCUCCUCCUUGUGCGCCAGUGUCUGGAGGAACCGGCGUCUUCCCACGGGCGUGUCUCGCUCCUCUCUGAGGGGACAUGGUGCUGGGGCCUUGGAGCGUGUCUGUCAUCAGCAUUCCAGCUCCUCCAGUGCCUCUGCUCCUGGGAGCCCGUCUGUGUGUCCUGCUCUCUCCUGGAGGACCUGCUCUGCCGCCUGUCCCAGCUCUGGGAUUGCUCCCUGCUCCUGCUCCUGCUCCUGCUCCUGCUCCUGCUCCUGCUCCUGCUCCUGCUCCUGCUCCUGCUCCUGCUCCUGCUCCUGCUCCUGCUCCUGCUCCUGCUCCUGCUCCUGCUCCUGCUCCUGCUCCUGCUCCUGCUCCUGCUCCUGCUCCUGCUCCUGCUCCUGCUCCUGCUCCUGCUCGGCUCCGUGACCGCUCCCGCCGGCUCCACGACCUGCGGGACCUGCGCCGGGACCCGCGCCGGGCCCGGCUUCCCUGUGAGGAGGCCGGCAUGGCCCAUUCCAGCCUUGGAGUCCGUCCCUCUUCUGGUGCAUCCUCCCAGGCGCUCCUCUGCUGCUCCCACCACCUCCACCUCGGGGAGUCGCCGCCUCGGCCGUGCCGCGACUGCCAGCGGCCAUCGCGGGGCCACCUCAUGGAUCUCCUCCUCCUCCUCCUGCUGUCCCAGGGCCCGCUGGUCGGCCAGGCCGCCCCCCCCCCCCCCCCCCCCCCCCCCCCCCCCCCCCCCCCCCCCCCCCCCCCCCCCCCCCCCCCCC
rnacentral:lncRNA from 1 species